rnacentral:rRNA from 1 species
AUACGUAGGGAGCGAGCGUUGUCCGGAAUUACUGGGUGUAAAGGGUGCGUAGGCGGGACUGCAAGUCAGAUGUGAAAUGCCGGGGCUCAACCCCGGAGCUGCAUUUGAAACUGUGGUUCUUGAGUGCGGUAGCGGUAAGCGGAAUUCCUAGUGUAGCGGUGAAAUGCGUAGAUAUUAGGAGGAACAUCGGUGGCGAAGGCGGCUUACUGGGCCUUUACUGACGCUGAGGCACGAAAGCGUGGGGAGCAAACAGGAUUAGAUACCCUGGUAGUCCACGCUGUAAACGAUGAUGACUAGGUGUGGGGGGACUGAACCCUUCCGUGCCGCAGUUAACACAAUAAGUAUUCCACCUGGGGAGUACGAUCGCAAGAUUGAAACUCAAAGGAAUUGGCGGGG